CAAUCUUCUUGGCCUUUGGCUAAGAUCAAGCAUAGUGUCUGUUCUUAUCAGUUUAAUAUCUGAUAAGUCCUUUAUUUAAGGACUGUAUGUUAAAUUGAUUUUUGAAACAAGGGGAUGGAAUAGGAGCUUGCUCUGUCCACCCCAUGCAUUGACCUGGUAUUUCACUAUUUCCAGGAUCAAAAAAAAAAAA